UAUAUUUGCGCCGCUGAUAUAAGCAUACAUAAUAAUCAUUUAAAUAAUAUUGGAAUG
rnacentral:ncRNA from 1 species